rnacentral:rRNA from 1 species
GUUCUUCGGAAHUAGAGACCGGCGCACGGGUGCGUAACGCGUAUGCAAUCUACCUUUUACAGAGGGAUAGCCCAGAGAAAUUUGGAUUAAUACCUCAUAGUAUUACGAMWUGGCAUCAUUAUGUAAUUAAAGUCACAACGGUAAAAGAUGAGCAUGCGUCCCAUUAGCUAGUUGGUAAGGUAACGGCUUACCAAGGCUACGAUGGGUAGGGGUCCUGAGAGGGAGAUCCCCCACACUGGUACUGAGACACGGACCAGACUCCUACGGGAGGCAGCAGUGAGGAAUAUUGGACAAUGGGCGCAAGCCUGAUCCAGCCAUGCCGCGUGCAGGAUGACGGUCCUAUGGAUUGUAAACUGCUUUUAUACGAGAAGAAACACUCCUUCGUGAAGGAGCUUGACGGUAUCGUAAGAAUAAGGAUCGGCUAACUCCGUGCCAGCAGCCGCGGUAAUACGGAGGAUCCAAGCGUUAUCCGGAAUCAUUGGGUUUAAAGGGUCCGUAGGCGGUUUAAUAAGUCAGUGGUGAAAGCCCAUCGCUCAACGGUGGAACGGCCAUUGAUACUGUUAAACUUGAAUUAUUAGGAAGUAACUAGAAUAUGUAGUGUAGCGGUGAAAUGCUUAGAGAUUACAUGGAAUACCAAUUGCGAAGGCAGGUUACUACUAAUGGAUUGACGCUGAUGGACGAAAGCGUGGGUAGCGAACAGGAUUAGAUACCCUGGUAGUCCACGCCGUAAACGAUGGAUACUAGCUGUUGGAAGCAAUUUCAGUGGCUAAGCGAAAGUGAUAAGUAUCCCACCUGGGGAGUACGUUCGCAAGAAUGAAACUCAAAGGAAUUGACGGGGGCCCGCACAAGCGGUGGAGCAUGUGGUUUAAUUCGAUGAUACGCGAGGAACCUUACCAAGGCUUAAAUGUAGAUUGACCGUUUUGGAAACAGAACUUUCGCAAGACAAUUUACAAGGUGCUGCAUGGUUGUCGUCAGCUCGUGCCGUGAGGUGUCAGGUUAAGUCCUAUAACGAGCGCAACCCCUGUUGUUAGUUGCCAGCGAGUCAUGUCGGGAACUCUAACAAGACUGCCAGUGCAAACUGUGAGGAAGGUGGGGAUGACGUCAAAUCAUCACGGCCCUUACGCCUUGGGCUACACACGUGCUACAAUGGCCGGUACAGAGAGCAGCCACUGGGCGACCAGGAGCGAAUCUAUAAAACCGGUCACAGUUCGGAUCGGAGUCUGCAACUCGACUCCGUGAAGCUGGAAUCGC